CCUACGGGGGGCUGCAGUGGGGAAUAUUGGUCAAUGGACGAGAGUCUGAACCAGCCAAGUAGCGUGAAGGAUGACUGCCCUAUGGGUUGUAAACUUCUUUUAUAAAGGAAUAAAACGAGGCACGUGUGCCUUUUUGCAUGGACUUUAUGAAUAAGGAUCGGCUAACUCCGUGCCAGCAGCCGCGGUAAUACGGAGGAGCCGAGCGUUAUCCGGAUUUAUUGGGUUUAAAGGGAGCGUAGAUGGGUUGUUAAGUCAGUUGUGAAAGUUUGCGGCUCAACCGUAAAAUUGCAAUUGAUACUGGCAGUCUAGAGUACAGUUGAGGUAAGCGGAAUUCGUGGUGUAGCGGUGAAAUGCUUAGAUAUCACGAAGAACACCGAUUGCGAAGGCAGCUUACUAAACUGUGACUGACAUUGAUGCUCGAAAGUGUGGGUAUCAAACAGGACUAGAUACCCGGGUAGUC
rnacentral:rRNA from 1 species